rnacentral:rRNA from 1 species
UACAGAGGUCCCAAGCGUUGUUCGGAUUCACUGGGCGUAAAGGGUGCGUAGGGGGUGAGGUAAGUCGGAUGUGAAAUCUCCGGGCUCAACCCGGAAAUGGCAUUGGAAACUACCUUGCUGGAGGAUUUGAGGGGGGAUUGGAAUACUUGGUGUAGCAGUGAAAUGCGUAGAUAUCAAGUGGAACACCAGUGGCGAAGGCGAAUCCCUGGAAAAUACCUGACACUGAGGCACGAAAGCUAGGGGAGCAAACAGG